ensembl:snRNA U6 U6 spliceosomal RNA
GUUUUCACUUCAGCAACACAUAUACUAAAAUUGGAAUGAUACAGAUUAGCAUGGCCCUUGUGCAAGGAUGACAUGCAAAUUCGUGAAGCGUUCCAUAUUUUU